AGGCAGCAGUAGGGAAUAUUGGGCAAUGGUCGCAAGACUGACCCAGCCAUGCCGCGUGCAGGAAGAAGGCCCUCUGGGUUGUAAACUGCUUUGGCGAGGGAAGAAGAUUUUAUACGAGCUAUAGAAUUAGACGGUACCUCGAGAACAAGCACCGGCUAACUACGUGCCAGCAGCCGCGGUAAUACGUAGGGUGCAAGCGUUGUCCGGAUUUAUUGGGUUUAGAGGGUGCGUAGGCGGGUUAAUAAGUUAGUGUUCAAAUAUGCCUGCUUAACAGGUAGCCGGGCAUUGAUACUGUUAAUCUUGAGUAAGUUUGGGGCUGGCGGAAUUUGUGGUGUAGCGGUGAAAUGCAUAGAUACCACAAGGAACACCGAUCGCGUAAGCAGCCAGCCAAGCCUUAACUGACGCUGAGGCACGAAAGCGUGGGUAGCAAACAGGAUUAGAUACCCUGGUAG
rnacentral:rRNA from 1 species